rnacentral:tRNA from 1 species
GGAGAAGUACUCAAGUUGGCCGAAGAGGCGCCCCUGCUAAGGGUGUAGGUCGUGAAAGCGGCGCGAGGGUUCGAAUCCCUCCUUCUCCGCCA